UGGGAGUGGAUAAAGGAAGGAAAGGAGGAGUUUUGACUCAGGAGAAGUGAAAGUGAAAUGAAUCUGUGGAGUAUUUAAAGAGGAAGUUUGGAGUCCCAGAGCUGUUGGCAGACGGGACUGCAGAGGACGACGCAGCGCUCAGACGCGCAGCCAUGCUGACCUGAGCCCAGCCCUGCUGAAACCCUCUGUUUGUGGGUGGGAUUGUAACGGAACCCAUAAUGCAGCUGUGAUUCUGAGCCCCAGCUGGUUAUGGGGUCCGUUUCCAUCCCACGGCGCACAAGACAUCCCCCGACCCAUCAGCCCGGUGGGGCAUCCUCCUUCCUUCCACACAGACAUUACGCUUCAACACUGCAGGUCACCUUGAAAUGUUUUUCAGACAGAAUUCAUGUCACGUCAGUUCAAAACUUUCACAUGAAGAACAAAAACCAUGUUUAAAAAGUAAAAGUAAAACACCAGCGGCAGCAAAGAACGCUAUAAAAGCAUCUGGAGUAAAAAUACUAAGCUGAGCGAGUCACAAAGAAAACCCAUUUUUGAUAACAGCUACUGUCUCGCUGCUCACCACCACGGCCCACGCAGGGCAGACCUGUGGUUUUGUUUCUGUUGAAUCAGUGAAGAAAGUGAAACUAACGCCUGUAAGGUCAUGUAACACUCUGUCGCCGGUCUGCAAAAGCGAUAUAUGAUGGUUCAUGACUGACUGAUGCAGAGGUGUUUUUCCUCAAUGACACGUUUUCUCCCGGAUUGCUGCGAGCAGGAAACGCAACCGGGAAUUUCGUGUCAGCCAAGAAUGACACCUGAAACAGCAACUGAGAAGCCAGCUGCAAAUGCUUUUGGAAUUUCAAUAUUUAAAAUGUGUGUAGUUGUUUUUUUUAUUUUUUUAACUAAUUGUAUUGCUAAACUGGUAUUUCUAAUAAACCUCAAACUUUAAACUGA